AGCAACAAGAAAUCUAUUUUUCACCUUUGACUUACAAGACCAAUGCUCUUAAUUUAAGCUAUUGUUGC
rnacentral:tRNA from 1 species